GAGGGUAUAGCUUAGUGGUAGAGUGCAUGCCUAGCAUGUAUGAGGUCCUGGGUUCAAUCCCCAGUACCUCUG
rnacentral:tRNA from 1 species